rnacentral:rRNA from 1 species
AGGGUUUGAUCAUGGCUCAGAUUGAACGCUAGCGGCAUGCUUAACACAUGCAAGUCGAACGGUAGCAGGUCUAGCUUGCUAGAUGCUGACGAGUGGCGGACGGGUGAGUAACGCGUAGGAAUCUACCUUGUAGUGGGGGAUAACCUGGGGAAACCCAGGCUAAUACCGCAUGAGACCUAAGGGAGAAAGCAGGGGACCGAAAGGCCUUGUGCUAUAAGAUGAGCCUGCGUCGGAUUAGCUAGUUGGUAGGGUAAAGGCCUACCAAGGCGAGGAUCCGUAGCUGGUCUGAGAGGACGACCAGCCACACUGGGACUGAGACACGGCCCAGACUCCUACGGGAGGCAGCAGUGGGGAAUAUUGGACAAUGGGCGCAAGCCUGAUCCAGCAAUGCCGCGUGUGUGAAGAAGGCCUGCGGGUUGUAAAGCACUUUCAGUGGGGAGGAAGGCCUCAGUGUUAAUAGUACUGAGGAUUGACGUUACCCAAAGAAGAAGCACCGGCUAACUCUGUGCCAGCAGCCGCGGUAAUACAGAGGGUGCGAGCGUUAAUCGGAAUUACUGGGCGUAAAGGGCGCGUAGGUGGUUAAUUAAGUCAGAUGUGAAAUCCCUGGGCUUAACCUAGGAAUGGCAUAUGAAACUGAUUAGCUAGAGGACGGGAGAGGGAAGUGGAAUUUCCGGUGUAGCGGUGAAAUGCGUAGAUAUCGGAAGGAACACCAGUGGCGAAGGCGACUUCCUGGCCCGUAACUGACACUGAGGCGCGAAAGCGUGGGGAGCGAACAGGAUUAGAUACCCUAGUAGUCC